rnacentral:rRNA from 1 species
GACAGAGGAUGCAAGCGUUAUCCGUAAUGAUUGGGCGUAAAGAGCGUGUAGGCGGCCAGGUAGGUCUGCUGUGAAAACUCGAGGCUUAACCUCGAGAUGUCGGCGGAAACCAUCUGGCUAGAGUCCGGAAGAGGAGAGCGGAAUUCCUGGUGUAGCGGUGAAAUGCGCAGAUAUCAGGAAGAACACCAAUGGCGAAGGCAGCUUGCUGGGACGGUACUGACGCUGAGGCGCGAAAGCGUGGGGAGCAAACAGG